AGAAUAAUUUGUCUAUUAGGUCAAGGGGGUGGAUAAAUUUUAUAAUGGGGGUUCAAUUUUCAGAGCUAUUUUACUUUAUUUUUUUAUAUACUGUUCAUUGCCUUUCCGGUGAACUUUCCGGCCAGUCACCACCAAACCCCACUGGCCAUCCCUCUCUUCUCACUAACCACCUCUAUUCUCCUCACUACUACGAGAGAAUCACUGUCCAAAACCCCAUUUUUCGAGCUCCACCAGUUCACUGCCGGAGAACCACCAAACCACAACACCCAGCCAACCAGAAGCACCAUUUCUGGCAGAGCUCGAGGCUCAGGCGGAGCAAAUAACAAGGAAAUCGAACCAUUCCCCUCCCCUUUCCCUUUUACGAUAUUUAUUGUUGUUUUUUUUUGCAGAUCUAUGGUGAAGAAGCUCAAAGCUCCGAACAGGACUCGAACAAAUCCCACACUCUCUGGCGGAAUCAGUUGCAUUAAAAGACCAGAUUCAGUCCGAAUACUCCAACUCCGGUACUCCGAAGUCACUUCUCAUCAAAGUCAUUCGAAUAAAGUUCGAAUGUUAUAUUCAUUAUGAUGUAUAUUGUUGACGAUAGACAAAUAUUAAGUUGUUUCUCAUAUUACUUGUCUACUUUAUUACUUGUGUAUAUUGCAUGUUUAUUAUAUUUGUACAUUAUUUUAUUCUCCUCCUCAAUUUGAAAAAAAAUGAAUUCAGUCGGGAUCCACAUUUGUGGAUUUCAAAGGAUGCUUAA